AGCCCCAAAGUGGUAGAAAGUCACAAUUGAGACUGGCCAAACAACAGUUCCCUGCUGAGUUGCAGGCAAUGGAAAGAUAUCGUCAUCCGAAUAUUGUUCAUCUUAUUGGACACUGCAGUGAACCAGAACCAUGUUUGGUGUAUGAAUAUUUACCAGGAGGUAAUCUGGGACAGAAGGUGGCCAAGGAUAAUUCAUUUGUGUGGUCAUCUCGAGUGAAAAUUCUGUGUGAUGUCUCAUGUGCGUUGAACCAUUUACACACCGCUUACAAUCCCGGUCUUGUCCAUCGAGAUGU